rnacentral:rRNA from 1 species
AUUGAACGCUGGCGGCAUGCUUUACACAUGCAAGUCGAACGGUAACAGGUCUUCGGAUGCUGACGAGUGGCGAACGGGUGAGUAAUACAUCGGAACGUGCCUAGUAGUGGGGGAUAACUACUCGAAAGAGUAGCUAAUACCGCAUGAGAUCUACGGAUGAAAGCAGGGGACCUUCGGGCCUUGUGCUACUAGAGCGGCUGAUGGCAGAUUAGGUAGUUGGUGGGGUAAAGGCUUACCAAGCCUGCGAUCUGUAGCUGGUCCGAGAGGACGACCAGCCACACUGGGACCGAGACACGGCCCAGACGCCUACGGGAGGCAGCAGUGGGGAAUUUUGGACAAUGGGCGAAAGCCUGAUCCAGCAAUGCCGCGUGCAGGAUGAAGGCCCUCGGGUUGUAAACUGCUUUUGUACGGAACGAAAAGCCUGGGGCUAAUACCCCCGGGUCAUGACGGUACCGUAAGAGUAAGCACCGGCUAACUACGUGCCAGCCGCCGCUGUAAUAC